rnacentral:tRNA from 1 species
UAGCUCAGUGGUAGAGCCCCCGCUUCGUGUGCGGAGAGACCCGGGUCCGAUUCCCGG